AUUGAACGCUGGCGGCAGGCCUAACACAUGCAAGUCGAACGAGCGGCGGACGGGUGAGUAAUGUCUGGGAAAAUGCCUGAUGGAGGGGGGUAACUACUGGAAACGGUAGCUAAUACCGCAUACAAUAAGAUGUGCCCAGAUGGGAUUAGCUAGUCGGUGGGGUAAUGGCUCACCUAGGCGGCGAUCCCUACCUGGUCGGAGGGGAUGACCAGCCACACUGGAACUGAGACACGGUCCAGACUCCUACGGGAGGCAGCAGUGGGGAAUAUUGUACAAUGGGCGCAAGCCUGAUGCAGCCAUGCCGCGUGUAUGAAGAAGGCCUGCGGGUUGUAAAGUACUUUCAGCGGGGAGGCGUUACCCGCAGAAGAAGCACCGGCUAACUCCGUGCCAGCAGCCGCGGUAAUUC
rnacentral:rRNA from 1 species